UAGUAUUCAAAAACUAUCCAUUACUCUUCAACAACAAAGAAAACAACAAAAAAUAAAGAGGAAGCACCAAGCUUAACCCCGACUCAUGACUAUCACAAUCUUGCACUCCAACAAACUUCUACAACUCUUAUAUAAUUACUAUUGAUUUCCAGAUUCUAAUCGUAAUCCUAUAAUAACCGCUUUUAAUAACUGAAUUAACCAUCCAUCCUCCUGAACUGACUAUUCU
rnacentral:lncRNA from 1 species